UACGGAGGAUGCGAGCGUUAUCCGGAUUUAUUGGGUUUAAAGGGUGCGUAGGCGGGCUUUUAAGUCAGCGGUAAAAAUUCGGGGCUCAACCCCGUCCGGCCGUUGAAACUGGGGUCUUGAGUGGGCGAGAAGAAGGCGGAAUGCGUGGUGUAGCGGUGAAAUGCAUAGAUAUCACGCAGAACCCCGAUUGCGAAGGCAGCCUUCCGGCGCCCUACUGACGCUGAGGCACGAAAGUGCGGGGAUCGAACAGG
rnacentral:rRNA from 1 species